GCGCGCGUCACCUAGUGGCAGGGUAACGGACUUUUAAUCCGUCGAGAUCAAUCUCAUCAGGGGUUCGAGUCCCCUCGCGCGCA
rnacentral:tRNA from 1 species